GACGAACGCUGGCGGCGUGCUUAACACAUGCAAGUCGAACGGAAAGGCCCUGCUUUUGUGGGGUGCUCGAGUGGCGAACGGGUGAGUAACACGUGAGUAACCUGCCCUUGACUUUGGGAUAACUUCAGGAAACUGGGGCUAAUACCGGAUAGGAGCUCCUGCUGCAUGGUGGGGGUUGGAAAGUUUCGGCGGUGGGGGCUGGACUCGGGGCUUAUCAGCUUGUUGGUGGGGUAGUGGCUUACCAAGGCUUUGACGGGUAGCCGGCCUGAGAGGGUGACCGGCCACAUUGGGACUGAGAUACGGCCCAGACUGGUACGGGAGGCAGAAGUGGGGAAUAUUGCACAAUGGGCGGAAGCCUGAUGCAGCAACGCCGCGUGCGGGAUGACGGCCUUCGGGUUGUAAACCGCUUUCGCCUGUGACGAAGCGUGAGUGACGGUAAUGGGUAAAGAAGCACCGGCUAACUACGUG
rnacentral:rRNA from 1 species